rnacentral:rRNA from 1 species
CCUACGGGUGGCAGCAGUGGGGAAUAUUGGGCAAUGGGCGCAAGCCUGACCCAGCAACGCCGCGUGAAGGAAGAAGGCUUUCGGGUUGUAAACUUCUUUUAAGGGGGAAGAGCAGAAGACGGUACCCCUUGAAUCAGCCACGGCUAACUACGUGCCAGCAGCCGCCGUCAUACGUAGGUGGCAAGCGUUGUCCGGAUUUACUGGGUGUAAAGGGCGUGCAGCCGGAGAGACAAGUCAGAUGUGAAAUCCACGGGCUCAACCCGUGAACUGCAUUUGAAACUGUUUCCAGUGAGUGUCGGAGAGGUAAUCGGAAUUCCUUGUGUAGCGGUGAAAUGCGUAGAUAUAAGGAAGAACACCAGUGGCGAAGGCGGAUUACUGGACGAUAACUGACGGUGAGGCGCGAAAGCGUGGGGAGCGAACAGGAUUAGAUACCCGUGUAGUC